ACGAACGCUGGCGGCGUGCUUAACACAUGCAAGUCGAACGAUGAAGACAAGAAUCGAAGCUUCGGCAGAAAUUCAUUUCGGAUUAGUGGCAGACGGGUGAGUAACGCGUGAGCAACCUACCUCUUACAAAGGGAUAGCCUCGGGAAACCGGGAUUAAUACCAUAUAACAUUGUGACGAAGCAUUUCGAUGCAAUCAAAGCUACGGCGGUAAGAGAUGGGCUCGCGUCCCAUUAACCGGAUGGUGAGGUAACGGCUCACCAUAGUGACGAUGGGUAACCGGGCUGAGAGGGUGAACGGUCACACUGGAACUGAGACACGGUCCAGACUCCUACGGGAGGCAGCAGUGGGGAAUAUUGCACAAUGGAGGGAACUCUGAUGCAGCGACGCCGCGUGAGUGAUGAAGGAAUUCGUUUCGUAAAACUCUGUUCUAUGGGAAGAAAAGGACUGUACCAUAGGAGAAAGCUCCGGCUAAAUACGUG
rnacentral:rRNA from 1 species